rnacentral:tRNA from 1 species
GCCUGGAUGGUGGAAUAGGUAGACACGUGGGACUUAAAAUCCCAUGGAGUAAAAUCCGUGUCGGUUCAAGUCCGACUCUAGGUA